rnacentral:rRNA from 1 species
GACGAACGCUGGCGGCGUGCCUAAUACAUGCAAGUCGAACGCAGUGGGGACGGGUGAGUAACACGUGGGUAACCUCCCAUCAGAGGGGAUAACACUUGGAAACAGGUGCUAAACCGAUACUGAUGGAUGGACCCGCGGUGCAUUAGCUAGUUGGUGAGGUAACGGCUCACCAAGGCCACGAUGCAUAGCCACACCGUGAGGGGGAUCGGCGACACUGGCAGUGAGACAGGGCCCAGCUUCCUACGUGAGGCACAAGUAGGGAAUCUUCGGCAAUGGACGAAAGCCUGACCGAGCAACGGCGAGUGAGUGCAGACGGUUUUCGGGUCGUAAAACUGUGUUGUUAGAGAACCGUUAUCUAACCAGAAAGCCACGGCUAACUACGUGCCACCGGCGGGGGUAUAC